rnacentral:misc_RNA from 1 species
CCUCCUUACCAUUACGUCGAUAGACGCCUUGAUGCAGUGCCUACACAGAUAGUCUUGUUUUUAUUGAACAAUACUUAUGUUCUUUAACAAUUUGGAAAGCUGAUAUUAAUAGUAAUCAAUCAAAAUUGAGUAACUGAGAAGUCGAAAGACGUACUUUUUACUCUACUUGACUUGAAUUGCUUGUUAUCAACAUUGAUUGAUAGCAAGGCAAUUCUUCCGAUUAGCUUGUCAUGCAUACAACAUUACCCUUGUCCGAUUUCAAAAGGCGGACAUGAGGCCGAAUACUCAAGGCUUUUUAGGGUUGUAUGGUUAAGUGACGAAGCGUAUACGGUGG